UUCUGGUUGAUCCCGCCGGAGGCUACCGCUGUUGGAGUUCGAUUAAGCCAUGCGAGUCGCGAGUCUUAGGGACUCGGCGUACCGCUCAGUAACACGUGGGUAACCUGCCCUAUGCUGGGGGAUAACCUCGGGAAACUGAGAAUAAUACCCCAUAGUUCACCACGCCUGGAACGGUGGGUGGACCAAAGCUCCGGCGGCAUAGGAUGGGCCUGCGGCGUAUCAGGUUGUAGGGGGUGUAAUGUACCCUCUAGCCCUCUACGCGUACGGGUGUUGAGAGACAUCGCCCGGAGAUGGAUUCUGAGACACGAAUCCAGACCCUACGGGGUGCAGCAGGCGCGAAAACUUGGCAAUGCGAGAAAUCGUGACCAGGGAACUCCAAGUGCAUCGGGUAAGACCGAUGCUUUUCUUGACUCUUCAAAGGUCUUGGAAUAAGGGGUGGGUAAGGACGGUGCCAGCCGCCGCGGUAAUACCGGCGCCCCAAGUGGUAGUCGCUUUUAUUGGGCCUAAAACGUCCGUAGCCGGUCUGGUACAUUCGUGGGUAAAUCAACCAGCUCAACUGGUUGAAUUCUGCGAGCACGGCCAGACUUGGGACCGGGAGAGGUGUGGGGUACUCUCAGGGUAGGGGUAAAAUCCUGUCAUCCUGAGAGGACCACCUGUUGCGAAGGCGCCACACUAGAACGGAUCCGACGGUCAGGGACGAAGCCUAGGGGCACGAACCGGAUUAGAUACCCGGGUAGUCCUAGGUGUAAACGCUGUGGACUUGAUGUUGGGGGCGCUCCGAGCGCACUCAGUGUCGAAGCGAAGGUGAUAAGUCCACUGCCUGGGGAGUACGGUCGCAAGGCUGAAACUUAAAGGAAUUGGCGGGGGAGCACCGCAACCUGAGGAUUGUGCGGUUUA
rnacentral:rRNA from 1 species